UGCCGCGUGCAGGAAGAAGGCCUUCUGGGUUGUAAACUGCUUUUGCCAGGGGAUAAAAUGACCUUGCGAGGUUAAUUGAAGGUACCUGGUGAAUAAGCCACGGCUAACUACGUGCCAGCAGCCGCGGUAAUACGUAGGUGGCAAGCGUUGUCCGGAUUUAUUGGGUUUAAAGGGUGCGUAGGCGGCCCUGUAAGUCAGUGCUGAAAUAUUCCAGCUUAACUGGGAGGGUGGCAUUGAUACUGCGGGGCUAGAGUACAGAUGAGGUAGGCGGAAUUGACGGUGUAGCGGUGAAAUGCUUAGAUAUCGUCAAGAACACCUAUAGCGAAGGCAGCUUACUAGGCUGUAACUGACGCUGAGGCACGAAAGUGUGGGGAUCAAACAGGAUUAGAUACCCUGGUAGUCCACACUGUAAACGUUGAUUACUCGCUGUGUGCGAUAUACAGUACGCGGCCAAGCGAAAGCGCUAAGUAAUCCACCUGGGGAGUACGCCGGCAACGGUG
rnacentral:rRNA from 1 species